rnacentral:tRNA from 1 species
UCCUCGGUAGUACAUAGUGGUCGAGUAUCCCCGCCUGUCACGUGGGAGACCGGGGUUCGAUUCACCGGGGAGUAU